rnacentral:lncRNA from 1 species
UGACCGUUCUACUCUUUUAAUUCCUUAACACUGUAUAAUUUGUCAAAAAUGGUUACUGGUAGGGCUGUUAUCAAUUUAUCAUGCGUAAUCUUUGUGUUUGUUUUUUUUUGUUUGAUUGUCCUAGUAACAGAUUUGAGUGUUUAGGAGUCAUCAUCAAGAACAAUGGGGAAUGAAACUGAUAAGAAGUUCACUUGGGUUAUUAAGAAUUUCUCCUCUUGGCGAUCCAAGUGUGUUCGGUCUCGUACAUUCGUGGUCGGUCGAUGCAAAUGGUAAGAACAAGAACUUGUCUGCAUGUGAUACAAUCGUGUUCCGUAGCUGCAAAUGACACAACUUUUGCAUGGUACUUGCUCGCAGGAGUCUUGGCGCCUUUCCGAGAGGAGUUGACAACGCUAGUUGUUUUUUAUCUCUGUAUUUGGUUGUUCCUAAUCCUGAAUCUUUGCCUUCUGGAUGGAGAUGACACGCUAAAUUCUCCUUUACUGUUUUAAAUCAAAUUCCUGGAGAAGUCUCUCAACUGCGAGGUGAUAUAUGUGUUUCUAUCUAUCUAUGCCUUAUUUGAGAAUGUAAAUGAUGAUGAUAUCCAAUCUGUUUUGUGAAUUUUCAGAAAUUCAAUACUGGUUUGAUCAGAAGGACAGCAUGCAGGGUUUUCAGUCGAUGAUUCGUCUUUCCGACCUUAAUGCCAGAGAUAGCGGGUUUCUUGUGAAUGGUGAACUCAAGAUUGUUGCAGAGGUUGAUGUUCUUGAAGUUGUAGGUGAACUAGAUGUACCAGUGGUAGCUACAGACGUCGUCGAUAUCAAUGGGUUUCAAGUCCUUGCUUCACAAGUAAAGAAAAACACAAGAAUAAAACAAGGCCUUAGUGUCUCUCACUUGAGUUUUACUCAACGUUUUUCUUUUUUUGCAGGUAGAAUCUGUGAACAUUUUGUUUGAAAAGCAUCCAAACAUUGCAUCAAAUGUCCGUGCAAAGAAUUCACAUCUGAGAACAACAUACUUGAAUAUCUUACUAAGCUUGACUGAGAUUCUAUCCAAGUCUCCUGAGGAAAUCUCCAACAGUGAUAUGGUUGAAGCAUAUUCUGCACUGAGAUUUGUUAUAAAUGCGGGGUUUAAGUUGGACUGGUUGGAGAAGGCACUGAAAGAAGCUUGUGAGAUUCGGAUUAAAGAAAUUGAGGAAAAAUUGAGUGACUUGACUGAAAAACGAGCAGACAUGGAUGCUCUGCUGAACAGCCUAAAAUGAUGUUUAGAGUUUAAAAUCUAUUUGGUGUUCUGCUCUGUUUGUUUUCUGUUUUCGUUUUCUAAAAUUCAAUGUUCUUGAACUAGGGGGUGAUGAAGAGACUUGUGUUGUUAUCAAUGUGCUAAAUGUUUCUUUCUAUUAACUUUUUGUUUCUUGACAAUGGGAAAUUAGGAAUGCCAGUGUGUUUAGUAUUAAAAUAGACAUUGUGGUUUAGGAUUUGCAUACAUGCUAAAGGCCGUAUUUAUGGGUUUAAUAUGUUAGAUUAUGUUCUUUGCUAAGUUGAUUAUGGAAUUAACUUUAGCAAUUCGCUCACAGUAGUGAAAAUUUAAGGUUAAUGACUUAAUGCACAGCAGAUUUGUAGCUUAAUGCGUUUGAUUUUUGACCCGUUCACUCCGUAGGUGGGCGCAACAGAAGUGAAUAGGCCCAUAACCCACAUGUCCCAGGAACAAAACCAUUAUGCUCCUCAGCCAUACAUGUUUCCUAAAUAACAACCUUCCCUACCAUCCCAUCUAGUAUACCAUAUGAAGUUUUUAGAUGGAGGCUGUUGUUCAGGAGACAUGUAUGGCCGAAGAACAGAAACUCUUCAAAACUGCUCAGCCUAAGUCAAGAAAAAUAUUUUAGAAUCACCUAAGAGGCUAUGGGAUCAGUCAGGUGUCCAGUGCUAUAGUUGUAGAUAGCUCGGAACGUUACAGUUACUUUCUUAAAAUGAGUCAGAAGAUAUGACACCAAAUCCUAUAUUAAGUAUAAGAACUGUCUGACUUUCGACUUUCAAGUUCCAACUUAAUAGUGUUAGUUAUAGACAAGUCUUACGUUCGGUUUAGGUUCAAUAGAUUAGGUUUAGAUUAGAUUCGGUCUAGAAUGGUUAAGCUUGUAAUUGUAUUGAACCGGGCUCUCUCUCUUAUGUUAGGAAACACGCGUGCGGUUUGUGCACGUGUGACGGUUAGCUAACUUGAUUCGUAUAAGAGUUGGUUAGCUGAGGAUAAGUGUUGAUCACUUGAGCUGAUUAGGUUGUUAGAUCAGUGAUCAAGAGAAUCAACGAGAGAGAGAGCAAGGUGAACGAAUUGUAAAGACGGUGGCUCGAGCUGUGAUUUCAUUCGUUGAAGGCUAGUCAGUUGCUGGUUCAAUCCCAUCUCUGAUGAAGUAUAGUGCCACUCCUAGUUAACGGAGUGGUGCGGUGAACACUGGGUCAACAUCUCGCGUGUGCUACUUUGUUCUGUUGAUUCAAGAAGACUAGAAGAAGAAUAUUGCAAGUCAAGGUUGCGUUGAAGAUAGGACGAUCUUCACAAAUUGGUAUCAGAGCGCGGUUAGUGUUCGAUUUUGAUUUCUCGAUCGGAGUUCCAGAUCUACGACAAGAUGGAGAGUACAAUGGCGACGCACAAGAUGGAAUUGAGUGACUAUGUUCGACGGCACAGGCGACUUCAGGGUCAUGAAGAAACGGAUGCUUGCGAAUCUAAGCGUCCAAGGAUUGAAAGACGUUCUGUCACCUCAAUCACAAGCUUUAGUGAUGACGAAGACGGACGAUGAAGACGAGGACUCCAAGAAGAAGAGAGAUCUUGAACAAGUUGCAAGAUCCGAAAGAGAUGAGAAGGCGAUGAACAUAAUCUUCAUGAGCGUAGGAGAUCAUGUUAUGAGGAAGCUAGACAAAUGCAAUUCAGCAUCAGAAGCUUGGGAGUUACUCGACAAGUUAUACAUGGCGAAGACUCUGCCGAAUCGAGUUCAUGCUCAGCUCAAGGUUUACUCCUUUCGUAUGCAAGAUACAAGAACGAUUGAUCAGAAUGUCAAUGAUUUCCUCAAGCUCAUAACGGACCUGAACAAUCUCAACAUAGAGAUACCCGAGGAGGUCCAAGCUAUACUGCUGCUUAACGCUUUGCCUAGUAGAUAUGAUUCCCUGAAGGAGACUCUAAAGUAUAGCAGAGAAGCAAUAAGAGUAGAUGAGAUUGCCAGUGCAGCGAGGUCUAAAUAAAUGGAGUAUAAGGACUCACCUUCUACCAAGUCAAAUGGUGAAGGAAACUUUGUCAGGGAAGGUCAGAAGGCAGGAGCAGAAAUAACUUUGGAGGCAAGAACAAGUUCGAGGCUCGUUCAUAGAGCAAGGAAGGCAAACGCCUAUGUUUGAUCAGCGAGAAAGAGGGCCAUUUCAAGAAACAGUGUCACAAGUGGCUAGAAAGAAACAAAGAACAGAAGUAUGGUCAAGACAAAGGUGAAGCUUCUCUAGCCAGGGAUGAUGCAAAAUAUUUUGUUGGACUACUAGUAACUGAAGCAAAUACAGUGGAGGCAGAUCAUGAUGAGUGGGUACUAGACACUGGGUGUACGUUUCAUAUGACUCCCAGAAGAGAUGUCUUUGUUGAUUUUUAAGAGACAUCACAAGGAAGAGUAAGGAUGGCAAACAACUCAGUGGCUCAUGUUAAAGGUGUGGGAUCAGUUCGGUUUCAGAAUGAUGAUGGUACUACGUUUCUUCUAUCCGAGGUCAGGUUCAUGCCAGACAUUGCAAGAAACUUGAUCUCGAUGGGAACACUUGAAGAGAAGGGUUGCGAAUUUAAAGCAGUGAAUGGUGUUCUCAAAGUCAUCAAAGGAUGCACAGUGGUAAUGAAGGGAGUUAGAAGACAGUCCCUGUAUAUUCUUCAAGCCAAAUCUCAGUCUCUAUCCUCAUACACAGGAGAAACCAGCUCUGCUACAACAACAGAGAAUGUGGGCGAUGCCACACAGUUGUGGCAUAGCAGGCUUGGUCAUUUAGGUCGCAGAGGAAUGGAUGUCUUAUACAAAAAGGGAGUUUUUGGGAGCAGCAAGAUUGAAGAUUUGAAGUUCUGUGAAGCAUGUGUUAUUGGCAAAACACAUAGGGUGAGUUUUAGUCAAGCGAAGCAUGUUUCCAAAGAUAAGCUCGACUAUAUUACUCAGACCUUUGGGGAUCGCCAAAUGUCCCUCACAGUCUCAGUAGAAAUCAGUACUUCAUAUCGUUUACAGACGAUUAUACGAGGAAAGUGUGGUUAUACUUCUUGAAAUUCAAGGAUGAGGCAUUUCAGAGUUUUGUGGUAUGGAAGACCAUGGUCGAGACGCAAAGAGAGAGGAAGGUUAAAAGGUUGAGGACGGACAAUGGGUUGGAGUUUUGCAACAACCAGUUUGAUGGAUUCUGCAAAGAGCAAGGAAUUGUUAGGCACAUAACGUGCACGUAAACGCCAAAACAAAACGGAAUAGCUGAAAGGUUAAACAAGACUAUCAUGAAUAAGGUUCGUAGUAUGCUAAGUGAGAGCGGGUUGGAGCUGAAGUUUUGGGCAGAGGCAGCAGCAGUGGCAGUUUACUUGAUCAACAGAUCACCAUCCUCAGCGCUGGAGUUCAAAAUACCUGAAGAGUUGUGGACAACACAUGAAGUAGAUUUAAGCAAUCUAAGAAGAUUUGGAUGUUUGGCCUAUGUACAUUCUUCAGAAGGGAAACUUCUUCCACGAGCUAAAAAGGGUGUGUUCACAUGUUAUCCAGAAGGUGUGAAGGGUUAUAAAGUAUGGCUUCUAGAAGAGAAGAAGGUUGUGAUCAGUAGGAAUGUUGUCUUUAUAGAAGAGCGAGUUUAUAAAGACUUCAAAAAUGAAGAAAAUAGCGAAAAGGAGAUGAGCACUGAGUCUAUUGUUAUUGAUUUAAAGUUGCUAGAUUCUGAGAGCAAGGAUCAAGAAACUAAAAUGAAAGAGACAAUAAUUAAAGGAGGAGUUUCUCCAACUAUGGAAGCGGGAGAGGAGAAGAAAAAAGAUUUGGAGGAGUAUCAGUUGGCCAGAGAUAGGGUCAGAAGGACAACUAGACAACCUCCAACACUUUCAGAUUAUGAGUGUGAUAUUAUUGAUGGAGAGGAUCAGUUUGCGGGUCUGGUCUGUCUCAUAUCUGAGGAUAAUCUGACAGAACCAAGCUCUUACCAUGAGGCUAUGGCAGAUCCUGACAGUGACAAAUGGACUGAAGCAGCUCAAGAUGAAAUGACUUCACUGGAGAUAAAUGAGACAUGGGAUCUCAUUGAGAGGCCAAAGGGCCAGAAGGCAAUAGGGUGCAGAUGGAUAUUCAAGAGAAAGGCAUGCAUUGCUGGAAUAGAACCACCGAGGCAUAAGGCAAGGUUGGUGGCCAAGAGAUACUCUCAAACAGAGGGGAUUGACUAUCAGGAAAUCUUUGCUCCUGUAGUCAAACAUGUUUCUAUAAGAUUCAUGCUCUCGGCGGUUACACAUUUUAACAUGGAGCUACAACAGAUGGACGUGAAGACUGCAUUUUUGCAUGGGAACCUCGAUGAAUUAAUUGUUAUGGAGCAGCCUGAGGGUUUUGUAGAUAAAAGGUAUCCAGACAGAGUAUGCAAACUCAAGAGGUCGCUGUACGGGUUGAAGCAGAGUCCGAGGCAGUGGAAUAAACGAUUUGAUGAUUUUGUGAGAUCAAAGAGUUAUACAAGGAGUGAGUAUGAUUCGUGUGUCUACUUUAAGAAGAAUGAUAAGGAAGUGUAUGUCUACAUGUUACUCUAUGUAGAUGACAUUCUUAUUGCAUCAGCGGACAAAGCUGAAGUUCAGAAGCUCAAAUCUGUAAUGGGAAAGGAGUUUGAUAUGAAGGACUUAGGAGAUGCUAAGAAGAUUUUGGGAAUGGAGAUAACACGAGAUCGAGUUAAAGGAGAGCUGUCUAUAUCACUAGAAGAGUAUUUAUGGAAAGUUUUAGGUAAAUUCGAGAUGGAUCAGUGUAAAUCAGUUGCUACUCCUCUAGGUGCUCACUUCUCACUCAAGGCAGCAACGGAUAAGGAGCUUCAGGAUCAGGAGGAGUACUUGAAGAAGGUUCCCUAUCAGAAUGCAGUAGGGAGUGUGAUGUAUUCAAUGGUUGGGACUCGACCUGAUCCAGGAUAUGCAGUUGGUGUGAUCAGUCGGUUUAUGUCGCGGCCAAUUAAAGAACAUUGGCAAGCUGUAAAGUGGGUUCUUAGAUACAUAAACGGAUCAGUUGACAUUAAGCUAAGCUUUAAAAGGAAGGGUGAUUUUGUAGUCAAAGGCUAUUGUGACUCAGAUUAUGGUGGUGAUUUGGAUCAUGCUAAGUCAACAACUGAGAUGGUUUUUACAGCAGGUGGUAACCUUGUUAGCUGGAGGUCUUCUUUGCAGAAGGUUGUGGCUUUAUCUACAACUGAGGCGGAGUAUAUUGCAUUAUCUGAGGCAGUGAAAGAAGACGUCUGGCUGAAGAGAUUUGCAGAGAAGUUGGGGUUUUCACAAGACACAGUUGAGAUAUUCUGUGAUAGUCAAAGUGAUAUUGCAUUGUCAAAGAAUGCGGUGUUCCAUGAGCGAACUAAACACAUGGCUACUAAGUACCAUUUUAUCAGAGACUUGAUCAAAGUGGGGGAGGUUCAAGUGUUGAAGAUAGCUGCUACAGCUAAUAACCCGGCGGAUAUUUUCACUAAGGUCUUGCAAGUAUUCAAGAUGAGAGAAGCAUUGAAGAUGCUUCGAGUUACCAAAGACUGAAGUCUAAGGAGAAGUCUUGAAGUCCGGUCAAGGACUCAAGGAGGAGCUCCGUGAAGAGUUUCAAGUAGAAGCUUCGUGAAGUACCAGGUACGUGAUAUGUGAAAGUGUUUUGUUCUGGAUUAGAGAAUGAGGUUAUCAUCCAAGCUUGUGAUAAGGAGGAGAUUUGUUGGUUAUAGACAAGCCUUACGCUCGGUUUAGGUUCAAUUGAUUAGGUUUAUAUUAGAUUCGGUAUAGAAUGGUUAAGCUUGUAAGUGUAUUGAACCGGCCUCUCUCUUAUGUUAGGAAACAUGCGUGCGGUUUGUGCAUGUGUGACGGUUAGCUAACUUGAUUCGUAUAAGAGUUGGUUAGCUGAGGAUAAGUGUUGAUCACUUGAGCUGAUUAGGUUGUUAGAUCAGUGAUCAAGAGAAUCAACGAGAGAGAGUGAGCAAGGUGAACGAAUUGUAAAGACGGUGGCUCGAGCCGUGAGUUCAUUCGUUGAAGGCUAGUCAGUUGCUGGUUCAAUCCCAGCUCCGGUGAAGUAUAGCGGCCACUCCUAGUUAACGGAGUGGUGCAGUGAACACCGGGUCAACAUCUCGCGUGUGCUCCUUUGUUCUGUUGAUUCAAGAAGACUAGAAGAAGAAGAUCACAAGUUAAGGUUGUGUUGAAGAUAGGACGAUCUUCACAAAUAGCUAUGAAAAAUAGUGCAGAUUAUUUCUUAUCGUUAAAGCAUAACUGAGGAAAAAAACUAGAGCACGAAAUGACGAAAAACAACACUUCAAUCAACAUUUAAACAUUCCACUGAUGUCAAACCAAAUUCGAAAAAUGAAGAACGUGAAAUAAUUUCAGCUAAAAUCCCCUCAUAUUCCGAAGAUUUCAUCCUCACUUUGAAGAAACCAAACGGGGCAACCAGAUCACUGCAUAUAAAAAACAGAGAAAAUAAUUGAGGAAUCCCUAAGAAUUUGAUUAUUCGUCAAUAUAUAAUCAGUCACUACUUUUAACUUUUUUUUAAAUUUCAUCAUCAUUGGGAUUCAACCAAAAGCCACACAAAUGAAAAUUCUAUACUUAGAUCAAACACACAAAAACUCACUGAAUUAAUAUUGAUAAGAACAGAUUAACAAGUAAUACAAGAUCAAAACAGAGAAGCAGUUAAAAGUCCCUCAGAGUCAGAGUUGAAAUAUCGUCAAAAAGAUAUCAGUCGCUACUUUUAACAUUUUUAAUCAUAAUUAGUUAUCAUAAGCGUUUCAUUAACGCUUUAAAUCGAAAAACCUAAUAAUAAGCAUUUAAAAGACUUGGUUUUAAUUUGAUGAUGAACAAUUCCGAUUUAUGAGAUGGCUUGGAAAACAAUGGUUUUGAUAUUGAUUUGAUACCAUCAAAUAGAAUAACAGAACGAGAAUUAAAAAAUAUGAACAAUUUCAGCUUCUUUGAUUUUAAAGAGAAAGACACUACAAACAAAGUGAUGAGCUGCGCUUAAGAUAAAAAACUAGGAACUAGUGUUGUAACAUCCCAUCUCGUGGUAUAAAGUGAUUUACUGUUGGCUGAUUAUUUGUUUAUGAAUUAUGCAUUAAAAUAUUCUAGUAAGAUAUCAUUCCUACCAAACCCAGGGACCGUGACUGGGGAAUUAAACAGAGAGGAUUGUAACGUACGUAUGCAUAACGUAGGCUUCUUUUUUUUUUUUUUAUAAGUAUGUGAAUAUUCAUUACCAAGAUAAUGACACAAGGAAGAUACAAUCAGUUCUUGCAGAAACAAAAUCUUAUGCAUCUUAAAUAGCUAGCUAAAGCAGAGGUCAAAGAGAACCCCCAAAAAAAAAAUAAAAAAGACUCCCAAACACAAAAAGGUUUAAUCCAAGCCCGAAGGCUAAGAUUAAAGCUUGGCAAGACAAAGACUAAUUGCAGCAAUCUAAAUUCCAGUAGUUCUACGCUUUAUCUCGUCACCGGACCUGCGACAAGAGCGACAAACAUUAGAGAGAAACAGCCGGAGAAUAAUUCCAGGUUCCGAGAAUUAUCCCGAAGACGACUCCAGAAGGGCUAAGAGGCGAAGCAGGCUUGGCAAGUUCCUGGUCCGGCUUUCACCCAGAGGAGUCCACUCCAGACGCCGUACGUCUCCAGCCGUGCUCUGAAGAUCCCAAACCAAAGACGAGAAGCUAGUAUAUAAAGCACGGAGCAUCACCGGCGGAAGCAAGCAGAGAUUUUAGGCACUCGAAUCCGGUCCCUUCACACGAGAUAAGCUUUGAAAAGAUUCCAGCUUCAAAUCAGAGAUAAGGCAAAGCACGGGACUGUCAACUUCCUUUUGAAACUCUGAAGAACAGAGGAGUUGGAAAACUCCAAAUCAAUAGGCGGCACACACAGCCACCACGCUUGCUGCAACCAGAAUCCGAAACUAAAGAAGUCCCCAGCGAAGCCUCGGUUCGCCUUUAACAUCAUCGCUCCGAAGAUCUCGAUGGGGAAGUUCUACAGUAGCAACCAACAGAGGACAUAACUAGAGACAAGAGGAGGCUGAACAACUGACCAGAGAGACAAAGGCAGCGACGCUUUGUUUCCGGCAAACCCUCCACGGCGGAUCUGACCCAGAUCUGACCGAAAUCGAGUCAAGAUCUGACCUCAAGUUGGAGCUUCCUGAUGAUAAGCGGCCAAGCACGACAUCGCCAACACUCCAGGGAAGCUGAGCACCCACCCAGCUACCGUUUAGAUCUACCGGAUCCGGCCGCUAUCCGGUGGAAAUCCACAGAUGUUAAAGCAAGGAAAAAGUGAAAUAACCGCUUAAACGACAGAUUAUGAGGCUAGCAAGAAAGAGGGGAAGGAGGGGGUGGCGGCCGACGGUUGAUAAGGCACCGUCAACCACCGGAGCUGAAAUCUAUAGGAGGCUACGAGUAAAAAUACGUCGGGAGAGAAAGAGAAGAGAGAAAAUAUUCUCUCACCUCUCUCUAACUUUUUAUAUAUAAGGUAGGCUUUUAUUAAAACGGAAACAUCAAAAACACCUUCAAUAAUAGCAUUGAAGCCUUACGUUUAGCAAAGAGAAAUACACACACACACACACAUAUAUAUACAUAUAUUUAUAUCACGCAAAAAGAUGUUUCUCGAGACGUGGACUGAUCAUAACCUCAAGAGGCGUUGCUUUAGGAAUGGUCAAGCCAGGGCUCUCACUCAUAUCAACAGCCACAUCCAAAUCAGUUUUCACGUCAAACGAAUGAAGAAAACGAGCAAGACCUAGAUGAAGCACUUGCAUAGCCAAUGAAGACCCUGGGCAUGAUCUUCUUCCCGAACCAAACGGGAUCAGCUCAAAGUUCUGUCCUCUAACAUCAAACUCUUUUGCUUCUCCUGUAAGAAACCUCUCUGGUCUGAACUCGUUUGGUUCUACCCAAACUUUCGGAUCUCUUUGGAUUUUCCAUACGUUCACUAUCAGUCUUGUGCCACAAGAAACGUGGUAACCUGCGAUUGUACAAUCUUCCAUCGCCUCUCGAGGGCCUAAGAGAGGACCAGCUGGAUAUAGUCUCAAUGUUUCUUUGAUGAUCGCUUGAAGAUACCCCAGAUUUUCUAUGUCUGAAUCCUCGACGUUCCUAUCUGUGCCAACUUGGAGGUCUAUCUCAUCUUGCGCUUUCUUUAACAUGUCUUUGUUGUUUAGAAGAAGAGCAAUGGCCCAUGUGAGAGUUGAAGCUGUAGUGUCACUUCCUCCAAGAAUCAGUGCCUGGCCAUUCAAAUUUGUAGCAUUAUAUACAUCAGAAGAGAUAAAACAAUAAAUAAAUAACGGAAAUCUUUUAAAUUUCACAAAAGUAUAAUAAUAUAGCACAUAAGAGGUCAAAUCCACAAAAUAAUGUUCAUUAGAAGAUAAAAUGACUAAAUUUAUUCAAAUCCCACCCCUUAAUUACACACUAAACCGUACACUUAUUAGUCACUAAAUCAUGAACUCAAAUAUAAAAUAAAAAGUUCUUUAACUUUUAAUAAAUGAUAUUUUAGAAAAAAGUCUCUUUGAUGUUACUUUGGAACAAGAAUAUGUUUUAUUGUUAUAGUGUUGUAUUUUUGCAAAAAUUGGGUUAAAGGUGUACCAGACAGGUAGAUUUGAUGCUAGUAUUUGCAUCAUAUUGCAGAUGGGAGAGUUUGCCUUGUUCCGCAAGUGACAACAUAACAUCAAUGAAGUCUGAAUCGUUCUCUUUAUUUCCUGAAACUUUUCGUUGUUGCCGAUGGUUCUCGAUCCAUCUUUCGAGAAUAACAUCUAGUUCGCUACCCGUUUUCUUCAUCUCCUUCUCAUGUCCUUGCAGAUCAAACCACCCUAGAGUCGGAAAAGCAUCGGACAUUGUGAAUAUACCGAUGAGGUGAAAGAACUUUGUGAUGGCCUUUUGGCAUUGCCUCGCCUCUUCGGUGUCUUCAGGGGUUGUUGAGCCACCGCCAAAGUAUCGUUUUCCGGCCACCAUUCUUACGAUCAUGUUCAGUGUCAUGUCCUCUAACCACCUCUUUAGAUCAACCAUUACUGGUUCUGAACCACCUUUCUUGACCCACAAGGAAUACAAAUCUUUCACACCUGCAUGCAUGUGAGACAUCACAUAGUAUUACAAUAACGUAACAGUAUUCAACAACUAUUGUAAUAGAUUAUAUAAGAUAUGAUUGAUAACAAAGUUGUAUAAAUAGACACUAGACCGUAAUAAUUGUCGCGCAAAACCGAUUAUGAACACGACCGAAUAAAAAACAUUAGUCUUGACCCCUAGAUUUCAAAGUUAUAUGUUGCAUGACUCCUAAACUGUCGAAAAUUUCUUUUGUUAAAAUUAACAUUAAGUUUAUUGUCUUCUAAAUCUGACAUCCGGCCUUCCCAGAUAUAUUGUUUUUAACUAAAUCGAAUUUUUUACAUGUUUUUUGUAUUACCCAUUGAGAUUUCUGAAACGCGGACGUGCUUGAGCAUCUGAAGCCGCCGGUUAGAAAGUAGCUCGAUGGUUGCGAUCUUACGCAUCUCGCGCCAGAAAGAACUGUAUGGUGCAAACCCGAAGACAGCAUAGUUGUAGCCCAUAUGCUUUGCGGCGGCAGUCAUAGGUCGUGAAGCCAAGGCUUUGUCAUUCACAGUGAAACACUCUUUAGCAACCUCAAAACUGCUCACAACAAAUGCUUCACUGCUCCCGAGUCGUAACGACAUGGCUGGACCGUAACGGUUAGCCAUUUCUCCUAAAGUUCGAUAGAGAAGUUGUUCCUUGCCACCGAGAAGGUGAAGAUGGCCGAUGAUGGGCCAUGCACCGCUUGGUUCGGGAGCUUUUACAUGUUUUGGCUUCUUUGUUUUCUUGAAAAGAGCAAUCAAAACGAAAACGAGGAGUGGAGAUAAUAAGGAAAAUAAGAAAGCAUCCAUAGCGCUUUGAUAGUGAAAAGAGAUGUGUUUGGUGGGUUCUAUGUUUCGAAUGAUCAUCUCUAUAUAUAUAUGAACUGUACAGUGAGAUGCAAGUAUGAGGCACCGAAUGAUCCUGCAAGAUCCAUGCAUGAAUUUACUUUGUUCUAUCAAAUAUCAUAUAUCUAUUGGUUACACGCAAGGAAUUUCGAGUGAUUACUUAUUUAAUGCAUUAUUUGUUGUUUCCCUAGUGAAGUGCAUGUGUGGACCUCGUCACCAAAAUUAGAAAUUUAAAGUUAAGUCAACAUUGUGUUUGCACAAUAUUAGAAGUCAGUCAUAUCAGUGGGUUGGUAAUGAUUUUCAACUUGCAAAGUAUAUAGUUACUACGAGUUUCCGUGCGCCAAGCGCAGAAAUAAUAAUUUUUAACAUAACAUUUUUUAUUUCAAAAGAAAAUUUUGAUUUAUAUUUCAACAUUAUUAAUUUAUAUUUUAACUUCAAUAGUUAUAAAAAAUCAUAAACGUAUUUUUGUAAUCUUAUUUUUUUUAUUUGGUAUAAUUAUUUAAAUUUGAUUUGAUUUAAUUUUUAAUAAAGGUAAAAUUAGAUUU